rnacentral:lncRNA from 1 species
CCCUUCAAACCCUAAUAGUCAUCUACUCUUUGGCGAUUUUUCAGAAAACCCUAAAUCUCAUCCCGUCGCUUUUUCUUAUCCUCAUAAACCAUGUUGCUCACUCCCUUAACCUAAACCUAAAUCGACUUCAUCUUCUCUUAUUUGACCUUUUCAGAAGACAAUAUAGGAAAAUCCAACAGCCCAACUGUGUUUCUCCUCCGUCCCGUCCCGUCCCGUCCCGUCUGGCAACCGAUUCUUCUCACCAACAACUUUGACACAGGUCUGUAUUUGGGAGUUCCCUACAGAACGCAUAUUUCAUUCGUUGAACACCAAUUUCUUUCAAAACUGGGUUUUAUCAUGAGGUUUCUUUUAGCUGGUUCGCCGGUGAUGGGGGUGAUGUGAUUUUUGAUUCGUUGUGGGUUUCACACAGGUAAACUAUCGAUUUAUAUAGUUUCAAAUUGUGUUUUCUUUGAUUAAUUGGUUGAUUUUGAAACUUUAUAUAGAUCAUACGCAUUAAUAUAUGCAAUGGGUAUGUUUUUUUUGCUUCGAAAUCCUCUGUCUCAGGAUUAAUUUGUGAAAUGUUUGUGAUUUUUUAUGGUUUUAUGGUGAACUCUUUUUAACCUCAAAAUGCAUGUCUACCACUGUUGGUUCUUAUGGGUACAUUACACCAGGUAUCAUCAUAUAAUCCUGGCUUCAAAAAAUAGCAACAAGUUUAUGUUUUUACUGACAUGAGUUUUCUUUCAGAUUGACUAAGAAGGUAUCUUUUAUGUUGCAAGAUAUGCAUACACACCAAAGGUAUUGCAAUAUAUUAAGAACAAGGGUUACAAAGGAAAAUAGCUUUAAAAGUAGAAAAAAUGAAGAUGAUUUAGGCUAAAAGAUAUAUUUUGGUGUGUGUUUGAACCGAGACUUCUUUUUAUUCAAUUGUUCCGAAUUCCGAUGAGUUUCCGGCGGUCCAUCCGACGAAAGGGUAGGUGAGCAUCUUCUUUGAUUUUACAAAACUUGAUUUAUUUUGUAGUAUAUUUAUGUGCAUUUUGCAGUAACACUUCAAUUGAGGAUGACAUUGAGAAAACUUGGUUUAAAUGCUUUUUU